AGAUUUCAUGUGCGAAAGAAGCUUAUAUCUGGGAGUCAGCUGAAGUCAUAGUACUGAUAAUAGACGCGUCAGGAAGGAC
rfam:Enterococcus cecorum DSM 20682 = ATCC 43198 genomic scaffold adfme-supercont2.2, whole genome shotgun sequence.